rnacentral:rRNA from 1 species
CCUACGGGAGGCAGCAGUGAGGAAUAUUGGACAAUGGGCGCAAGCCUGAUCCAGCCAUGCCGCGUGCAGGAUGACGGUCCUAUGGAUUGUAAACUGCUUUUGCACAGGAAGAAACAACAUUACGUGUAAUGUCUUGACGGUACUGUGAGAAUAAGGAUCGGCUAACUCCGUGCCAGCAGCCGCGGUAAUACGGAGGAUCCAAGCGUUAUCCGGAAUCAUUGGGUUUAAAGGGUCCGUAGGCGGUUUAGUAAGUCAGUGGUGAAAGCCCAUCGCUCAACGGUGGAACGGCCAUUGAUACUGCUAAACUUGAAUUAUUAGGAAGUAACUAGAAUAUGUAGUGUAGCGGUGAAAUGCUUAGAGAUUACAUGGAAUACCAAUUGCGAAGGCAGGUUACUACUAAUGGAUUGACGCUGAUGGACGAAAGCGUGGGUAGCGAACAGGAUUAGAUACCCUGGUAGUCCACGCCGUAAACGAUGGAUACUAGCUGUUGGAAGCAAUUUCAGUGGCUAAGCGAAAGUGAUAAGUAUCCCACCUGGGGAGUACGUUCGCAAGAAUGAAACGUNAAAGGAAUUGACGG